UCAUUUCUUUCUUUUCCUCUUUCCAUCUUGCUUCUUCCCUUUCCAUAAUCAACCAAUUCCACACACUAAUCAAACACCCAUAAGAGAAAAAUUAUUCACCAAAGCAAAACAAUUUCAUAUUACAAGUUAAUUUGGGAUUGAUUUUGGAGAUUGGGGUUAGGGUUUUGAGAAGAAAGAUACCCAUUUUGUGAAGGUUGCUCAUUGAGACUCUUUAAGUAAUGCUCAGAUACGAUGUCGGACGCUUCACAUGCUUCUCUCGGGAUGGUUGGAGAGCACGCUUAGUCGAUUCGUCGUAACUAUUCCUAAGCAGCUAAGUAGAAAGCUGCUAGCAGAUUCAAAGUUUUCACAGUGUCACUUUUGGUAGGCCCUCUUGGUUGGCUUCUCUUUGUAUAUUUAUAUUUCAGUGUCCAUUGAUGUAUCUGCAGCUAUUUGGUAGUCUAGGAUGUGCUAUUCUGAGUUGCACAAGUAUGAGAAAAAUGUUAUUUGAGAUACUGGAUGAUGAAACAGGUUUAUAAAAUAGGAUUGAUAUCUUGGAAAUGUUGAAUUUACAGGGGAAACUCUGUUGAAGUUUCAGUAAAUAUUUUUAUUGAAGUGAAAACCGAAUUGUAAUUGUUUUU